rnacentral:rRNA from 1 species
GUGAACGCUGGCGGUAGGCCUAACACAUGCCAGUCGAACGGCAGCACCGUAAGAGCUUGCUCUUACGGGUGGCGAGUGGCGGACGGGUGAGGAAUACAUCGGAAUCUACUUUUUCGUGGGGGAUAACGUAGGGAAACUUACGCUAAUACCGCAUACGACCUACGGGUGAAAGCAGGGGAUCUUCGGACCUUGCGCGAUUGAAUGAGCCGAUGUCGGAUUAGCUAGUUGGCGGGGUAAAGGCCCACCAAGGCGACGAUCCGUAGCUGGUCUGAGAGGAUGAUCAGCCACACUGGAACUGAGACACGGUCCAGACUCCUACGGGAGGCAGCAGUGGGGAAUAUUGGACAAUGGGCGCAAGCCUGAUCCAGCCAUGCCGCGUGGGUGAAGAAGGCCUUCGGGUUGUAAAGCCCUUUUGUUGGGAAAGAAAAGCAGCAGGUUAAUACCCCGCUGUUCUGACGGUACCCAAAGAAUAAGCACCGGCUAACUUCGUG